CCAGUUGCCCAUAGCAACCAAUCAGAUGGCUUUUAUUUUUUAGAGGCCUUUUUGAUAAGUCUCCCCCAUUAUUCUUUAGAACAAUGGAGGUUACCAUUUAAAGUGUCAUUGUAAUUUGAAAUGACUUGUUGCCCAGGCACGUCAAAAAGUUCAAAUUGCUCCUUUAUUUUGAAGAGGAGACAUUCUGAUUUCAUUUUGGUUUUGUAGAUGCCAGGGGUAAAAGAAGCAAGGGACCAUUAUCGGGAGCGGGUGCACGGAAAAGAAGAGACCCGCGGAGAUCAGAACAUUGAGACAGUAUCUAUGGCAGCACAAUGAGAGAACCUGGAGGUGGUAGCAUCAGCAUGAGAAGACCAUAUGGCGGCACAAUGACAGAGCCUGGAAGUGGCAGCAUCAGCAUGAGGAGAUCAUAGAGCAGCACAAUGAGAGAGCCUGGAGGUGCCAGCAUUAGCAUGAGGGGACCAUAGAGCAGCAUAAUGAGAGAGCCUGAAGGUGACAGCAUCAGCAUGAAGAGACCAUAUGGCGGCACAAUGACAGAGCCUGGAGGUGGUAACAUCAACAUGAGGAGACCAUAGAGCAGCACAAUGAGAGAGCCUGGAGAUGGCAGUAUCAGCAUGAAGAGACCAUAGAGCAGCACAAUUAGAGAGCCUGAAGGUGGCAGCAUCAGCAUGAGGAGACCAUUUAGCAGCACAAUGAUAGAGCCUGGAGGGGGCAACAUCAGCAUGAGGAGACCAUAUGGUGGCUCAAUGGAAGAGUCAUUGUGAAGAACCCACCGACUGUUGACUGGGGGUGUCAGAUGUCACUUGGGAUGAAGUGGAUGACCGAGGGAACUAAUCAAUCCUGGCUGCUGGGUUGCUGGUUGAGAGACGACUGCUAGCUGAUACCGGGAGCUCAGACCUCUUGCUGUGACUCCUGCUGCCACACGCCCCUACUCUGCUGCAACCUCUGCCUGCGCCUGAUGAACUUAGGCCUCUGCCACUCUUCUGUGCACGUCCUGGUACUUCUCUGCCUGACAUGCUUAUUGUGUAAAUGAGGGGAGUACAAUACACUUCACUAUGCUUAACCACUUAAGGACCCAGCCAAUUUUCACUGUAGGACCCGGCCAUUUUUUGCACAUCUGACCACUGUCACCUUAAACAUUAAUAACUCUGGGAUGCUCUUACUUUUUAUUCUGAUUCUGAGAAUGUUUUUUCGUGACAUAUUCCACUUUAUGUUAGUGGUAAAAUUUUGUCGAUACUUGCAUAAUUUCUUGGUGAAAAAAUCCCAAACUUUAUGAAAAAAUUUUAAAUGUUGCAUUUCUUUUUAACUUUGAAGCUCUCUGCUUAUAAGGAAAAUGG